rnacentral:lncRNA from 1 species
CUUUUCACUUCCAGUUUGGCCCAAGGUGUUUAUUUAAAUUAAAAAGCUUUAAUCAUCCAGUCCAAUAUUCCUGAAAAGGUACGACAUUGACUCCCCAUUGUGGAUCCUGCGAAUGGCUUCUGAGAGGAUCAUGCUGAUAUCCACAGUCUUGAUUUUAGGGCACUGGAGUUUCUGGAUUUCGUGUGGAAUUGUGUUUGUAACAACCACCUCAUCAAUUGCAGAUUCUUCUAUCAGCCUGGGAGCAUCCGAAGAUAGCAGACCAUGUGUGGCCAUAACAAAGAUCUUGUAAGCCCCCCUCUCCUUGAGGGUCUCUGCUGCAGCAAGAAAGCUGUCAACAUCAUCUAUAAUGUCAUCCACGAUGAUAGCUAUUCUUCCUCCUACAUCUCCAACAACUGUGAUGGGUGGUUUUUCCUUGGGAAUCAGCAUGGGUAUCUCUAAACUGGGAUGAAUAGCAGCUACGUUUUUGGCUGUGGGUGGUGAGUGUCGACCAUCUACCAUGUCAGACUCAGCAUCUUGAGCUUCCCCAUGAAUCACUGCAAUUCCCAACCGCAAACGUUCAGCAAAUGACUGAGCCCUCUUUGCAGACGCAGGUGAUUUGGCCACAAUUACAGCAUUCCUGUAGUCUGGUAUCUCUUCUUGGAUGUACUGUAGUAAAAAUGGAGAUGCUCUCAAGUUAUCAACUGGAAUAUUGAAGAAGCCCUGUAUUUCCUUCUGAUGUAAAUCCAUGGUAAUAAGAUGAGUUAGUCCAGCUUUGCACAUCAUUGACGCCAGUAAUUUAGAGACAAUGGAGCCCCUUUUUCUCAUCUUGCACUGUUUGCUGUAGGGGAAGUAAGGAAUCACUCCAAUAAUGCUUUUGGCACAGGAUGUUUUACAAGCAUACACCAUGAUCAGGAGUUCCAUAAUCGUAGUAUUCACAUCCUUUGAAACUGUCUGGAUGAUAAACACAUCCUUUCCUCUCACAGACUCCUGAAUCUGUACUCUCGUUUCUCUGUUUGGCUCUUGAUAAACCUGAACCUUCCCCAUCUCAACUCCUAAUCGCUCAGCAAUUCUCUUUGAUAGUUCCAUGCAUGAAGAAUUGGAAUUAGCUGAAAACAGCACCAGUCCACCUUUCGUUAUAUUCAUGAUGGCUCCAGUUUCAGUUGAUGGCACACAAAACAUCAAACCUAAGUUGUCUUCCCACUCCUAAAAGAAAAUAUGGAUGAAAUGUAAGGAAGAGUUCAAUAAAGUUGGUAGCUGUAAAUAAUGACCUCUUGUACAACGCAUCCACUUGAUGAAGUAGUUGUCAUUCUUUGAUACUAAUAUUUCUCCUGCCGGCUCCGGCCCUCCGGUCCCGGGAGAAGACGGCCCGGCCCGGAGGGAUGGUGAAGAGGCAGAGGCAGCGCGAAGCUCAACCCCUCCAGCGGUUAUCCGCUCGCUCGCAAGAUGGCGGCGCCGCGAGGGGGGGGCGGGCGGAGGGCGCGCGAGGGGCGGGAGUGAGGCCACGCCCUGCCCCCCCCCUCCCCCAGCCCUUCCCGCCGAGGCCUCUCGCCGCUCUGAGGGGCGUCGCCGCCGGCGCCAUUUUCUCCCCUGAGGUGGGGGUGGGGGGGAUGCUGAGGGACCCCCGAAGAGGGCCGAUUUGGGGAGUGUGCUAUUAACGCGGCGUUUCACGUUUUCCCCGCGCGGAUGUCAAGGGUGGGCAGCGGUCUCCAUCAGGGUUGUGGAAGUCCCCUCGCAAAGUCCGAGCUGCAUAAAGCAGCGGGUGCAUCUGCGCAGUGCCAGGUUCUGUUAUACUGCACAAAUCCAGGAGGAUAAAGCUCCUGCCAGUGCCCACCAAAGCAAACACAGAGACACUGAUCAUCUUACCUUUCCCAAUCCUUUUUCUGCUAACGCAGUGGCUAAAAGCUGGUUUAACUCAUGCUUUUCAAGGCACCCAGGAUCAGCAUUUUGUGGUGUAUGGAUCAGAAUUCAAUCCUUUGGAGUACAGGUACAGAUCAGGUACUUUUCACUGCACCUUCUCACAAAAUCAUUGUUUCUGGGCUGCAGCAUACAGAGUGCAUUGGAGCAAGGCCUAGAGUACCCAAGCAGAGACCUGCGUGCCAUGAAAGACACAGAACAGCUGCCCAGACUGCUCACCCAAUGCACAAAGACAACUUUGGAUUUCGUGCUUUGAAACCUCUCAUAGCGAAACUGCCACUGUGAGCUGCAUUUUUUGCUUUAAGCAUUCACAUGCUUUCCCACAGCUCACAAUACGCACUUCAACAGUUGUCUCCGCUGCUAGCAGCCAGAGCAGGGAAGGAGAGCAGUUGAACCUGAACCAGCUGCCAGAUGCUGAGCACUCCACACACAGCACUCCUCACAGAGCUGAGACAUCUGUCUGAAAUGUGUGAGACCUAUUUGUGUCCACAGCACACUGCAGCAAUGCUGUGCGUGUGUGCAGGAUCUCAGGUUGGAAAGUGUGAUAAAACGGGCCCCAUGCCUCCUCACCACCCCCACCAUUUCCAGUCUGUGUUUCUCUGCUUACAGGCUGCUGCACCCACCGCUGAUUCGGGCUCGUUGACCUUUGCAGGUUCCCUUUUGUUUCGCAGGGAAGGCAGCUUUGAGGUUUUUGUCAGCCUCUUCACAGAGCAGCAGAGAUUUCUUAGCAUCAGUCCCCAUCACAGGGUUUCACUGCAGGCUGCAUGGCAGGGCAGCGUGAGGCAGAGCAGCCAAAACAACACAUGUUGAAGCGCUGACCCACAGUGCAAUCAGCAGCCUUCCUCAGAGGCAUUUUUCAAUACCCUCGGGGCACACACAAUUUGCUGACUGCUCGAUUUGUGCUGCCCUGAAUUCCUGACGUUUACACAAGCAAACCACAGGACCAGAAACUAAAAAAAAAUUGUG